UGUGUGUGUGUGUGUGUGUGUGUGUGUGUGUUCGAGGGUGAGACAGGGAAUGACGCUUUAUAAAUAUUGAUGAGAGACACUGAAUUCAAUUGUAUCGGGUUGUAUUUAUCGAUGGUUAAAAGAUCAAAUAUUUUUUAAAGUGCUUUAACCAUUUUAAGGAUCAACAGCUUGGGGUAAAAUCCAGAAAUAUAGAUGGUGUACAAAAGAGCAAGUUGGAGAUCUGCAAGAAGUAAAACACUGCAGCAAAGCUCUUUAAUUCACUCUGCAUAAAUAGCUGAGCCUACAAAAGAAAUCUCUAGUCAGAGGUUUCCUGGAUUAUAACAAGAAUUCUCUCGAUGGGGAGAAGUGCCCUUUUCACUUGAAGACAAAGAAAUGUUUGUAAUGGAAAUGUGUGAACCAAUUUUCCAAGGAGAGCUGCUGAAAAGCACUGAUUAAAAACACAGUGAGGUGAUGAGGCAGUGAAAUAAAGCCAGAGCUGACCCACUUAGUUUGUGGCUGCACUUACUUCCGAAAGUGAAGAGAGCAACCCCGGGCCACCUUCUACAUUCUUUCCCUUCUCCCCAACCCCAAGCAGUCCCUGCCCCAUUACUGACCCUGCAACUCCGUAGACAAUCAGAACCUUCCAGCGUGCAGGAAUGUUUACUAUUUCUGGACAUUGUGUACUGGUUACUAAGCUACCGACACUGAGGAUGAAAUGGUAACCCAGUAGCCCAAAACACAAAGUCCUUCUCAACAAAGCCUAACCAACGGGCAAUGGAUUACAGUGAUUCAGAGGAAAGAUGAGAAGGUUCCUUUGUCUUGGACCUCCAUUAGACAUCAAGGAAACAUGCCAAAACAGUAAACAACAAACAAAGGCCCCACACCUUUCCAAACUACAGCCCAAAAUAAGUUGAUUGAGAAACAAAUUGCAAUGCCA